GAUGAACGCUGGCGGCGUGCCUAAUACAUGCAAGUCGAGCGAACGGACGAGAAGCUUGCUUUUCUGAUGUUAGCGGCGGACGGGUGAGUAACACGUGGAUAACCUACCUAUAAGACUGGGAUAACUUCGGGAAACCGGAGCUAAUACCGGAUAAUAUUUUGAACCGCAUGGUUCAAAAGUGAAAGACGGUCUUGCUGUCACUUAUAGAUGGAUCCGCGCUGCAUUAGCUAGUUGGUAAGGUAACGGCUUACCAAGGCAACGAUGCAUAGCCGACCUGAGAGGGGGAUCGCCCACACUGGAACUGAGACACGGUCCAGACUCCUACGGGAGGCAGCAGUAGGGAAUCUUCCGCAAUGGGCGAAAGCCUGACGGAGCAACGCCGCGUGAGUGAUGAAGGUCUUCGGAUCGUAAAACUCUGUUAUUAGGGAAGAACAUAUGUGUAAGUAACUGUGCACAUCUUGACGGUACCUAAUCAGAAAGCCACGGCUAACUACGUG
rnacentral:rRNA from 1 species